rnacentral:tRNA from 1 species
GUUGAUUUUCAUUCAAUCAGUAUAUUUUAUAUA